AUAAUAAUUAGUCUUUUAAAUGGAGGCUAGAAUGAAUGAUUGGACGAAGUAAAUUCUGUCUCAUAAAAAUUAAAAUUUAAAUUUAAUUUUUUAGUUAAAAAGCUAAAAUAUUAUUAAAGGACGAGAAGACCCUAUAGAGCUUUAUAAUGAAUUAUUAAUAAAUUUUAAUUUUUUUUUAUUAAUUUAAUAUUAUUUUAUUGGGGCGAUAGGAAAAUUUAUUAAACUUUUUUAAAUUAAUUACAUUUAUUUAUGAACUUUUGAUCCUAAAAUUUAGAUUAUUAGAUUAAGUUACCUUAGGGAUAACAGCGUUAUUUUUUUUUAGAGUUCAUAUUAAUAAAAAAGAUUGC
rnacentral:rRNA from 1 species